rnacentral:tRNA from 1 species
GCCCCCGUCGUCUAGAGGCCCAGGACGCCACCCUUUCAAGGUGGAGAUCGCGGGUUCGAAUCCCGCCGGGGGCACCA